CCAAUCGCGUAUAUUAAAGUUGUUGCAGUUAAAAAGCUCGUAGUUGAAUUUUGGAUUCUUCCAAUUGGUCCAUCUUUUAGAUGAGUACUGGUUGUGUGGGGUCUAUCCGCCUGGUAAUACGUAAUGUCCUUUAUUGGGUGUUGCGGGUAGUCAGGACCUUUACCUUGAAAAAAUUAGAGUGUUUAAAGCAGGCUUAUGCCGGAAUACAUUAGCAUGGAAUAAUAGAAUAGGACGAAGUUGUUUUAUUUUGUUGGUUUCUAGGACAACCGUAAUGAUUAAUAGGGAUAGUUGGGGGCAUUAGUAUUCAAUUGUCAGAGGUGAAAUUCUUGGAUUUAUUGAAGACUAACUACUGCGAAAGCAUUUGCCAAGGAUGUUUUCAUUAAUCAAGAACGAAAGUUAGGGGAUCGAAGACGAUCAGAUACCGUCGUAGUCUUAACCAUAAACUAUGCCGACUAGGGAUCGGGCGAUGUUGUUUCCAUGACUCGCUCGGCACCUUAUG
rnacentral:rRNA from 1 species